rnacentral:rRNA from 1 species
AACGAACGCUGGCGGCAGGCUUAACACAUGCAAGUCGAACGCCCCGCAAGGGGAGUGGCAGACGGGUGAGUAACGCGUGGGAAUCUACCGUACCCUACGGAAUAACGCAUGGAAACGUGUGCUAAUACCGUAUACGCCCUACGGGGGAAAGAUUUAUCGGGGUAUGAUGAGCCCGCGUUGGAUUAGCUAGUUGGUGGGGUAAAGGCCUACCAAGGCGACGAUCCAUAGCUGGUCUGAGAGGAUGAUCUGCCACAUUGGGACUGAGACACGGCCCAAACUCCUACGGGAGGCAGCAGUGGGGAAUAUUGGACAAUGGGCGCAAGCCUGAUCCAGCCAUGCCGCAUGAGUGAUGAAGGUCUUAGGAUUGUAAAGCUCUUUCACCGGAGAAGAUAAUGACGGUAUCCGGAGAAGAAGCCCCGGCUAACUUCGUGCCAGCAGCCGCCGUAAUAC